GACGAACGCUGGCGGCGUGCCUAAUACAUGCAAGUAGAACGCUGAAGGAGGAGCUUUCUUCUCCGGAUGAGUUGCGAACGGGUGAGUAACGCGUAGGUAACCUGCCUGGUAGCGGGGGAUAACUAUUGGAAACGAUAGCUAAUACCGCAUAAGAGUAGAUGUCGCAUGACAUUUGCUUAAAAGGUGCAACUGCACCACUACCAGAUGGACCUGCGUUGUAUUAGCUAGUUGGUGAGGUAACGGCUCACCAAGGCAACGAUACAUAGCCGACCUGAGAGGGGGGUCGGCCACACUUGGACUGAGACAAGGCCCAGACUUCUAAGGGAGGCAGCAGUAGGGAAUCUUCGGCAAUGGACGGAAGUCUGACCGAGCAACGCCGCGUGAGUGAAGAAGGUUUUCGGAUCGUAAAGCUCUGUUGUAAGAGAAGAACGAGUGUGAGAGUGGAAAGUUCACACUGUGACGGUAUCUUACCAGAAAGGGACGGCUAACUACGUG
rnacentral:rRNA from 1 species